rnacentral:lncRNA from 1 species
CAGGCAGAGGGGCAGCGCCAGGACCAGGAGAACGGGUCCUUGCUAAACAUCAAGGUCAAUCAGGAGGCUGAGAUCGCCACCUAUCGCCACCUGCUAGACGACGACGAGGACUUCAAUCUUUGUGAUGCCCUGGACAGCAGCAACUCCAUGCAAACCAUCCAUAAGACCACCACCCCCCAGAUAGUGGAUGGUAAAGAGGUGUGUGAGACCAACGACACCAAAGUUCUGAGACAU